UACGUAGGCAGCAAGCGUUGUUCGGAAUUACUGGGCGUAAAGAGUGUGUAGGCGGUGCUCUAAGUUCGGUGUGAAAUCUCCCGGCUUAACUGGGAGGGUGCGCCGGAAACUGGAGUGCUUGAGCGCGGGAGAGGAAAGCGGAAUUCCUGGUGUAGCGGUGAAAUGCGUAGAUAUCAGGAGGAACACCAGUGGCGAAGGCGGCUUUCUGGUCUGUAACUGACGCUGAGGCGCGAAAGCGUGGGGAGCAAACAGG
rnacentral:rRNA from 1 species